AUUGAACGCUGGCGGAAUGCUUUACACAUGCAAGUCGAACGGCAGCACGGACUUCGGUCUGGUGGCGAGUGGCGAACGGGUGAGUAAUGUAUCGGAACGUGCCCAGUCGUGGGGGAUAACGUAGUGAAAAUUACGCUAAUACCGCAUACGAUCUAUGGAUGAAAGCGGGGGAUCGCAAGACCUCGCGCGAUUGGAGCGGCCGAUAUCAGAUUAGGUAGUUGGUGGGGUAAAGGCCCACCAAGCCAACGAUCUGUAGCUGGUCUGAGAGGACGGCCCGCCGCACUGGAACUGGGACACGGUCCAGGCUCCUACGGGAGGCAGCAGUGGGGAAUUUUGGACAAUGGGCGAAAGCCUGAUCCAGCCAUUCCGCGUGCAGGAUGAAGGCCCUCGGGUUGUAAACUGCUUUUGUACAGAACGAAAAGGUUUCUACUAAUACUAGGAGCUCAUGACGGUACUGUAAGAAUAAGCACCGGCUAACUACGUGCCAGCCGCCGCGGUAA
rnacentral:rRNA from 1 species